rnacentral:hammerhead_ribozyme from 1 species
GUUCAGCUGACGUGUUCCAACUGGGACGAAACGUGCGUCUUGGAU